GCAAGCUCAAAAUAUACUUGGUAGAUAUUUUGCGUAGUUGUUGCUGUCCCGUUACAUUGCUACGCAGUCUUAAUCUUGUAUACUCAAUACUGUGAGAGUACCUUAGCAGGUGCCAGCAAUCUAAAACCGUCAACAUGGUAUGAUUAAUAAUAGACGCCUGUAGUUGGGUGGCAAAUAAAAUAAGAUGUCAUAAAGAAUCUUAUGAUAAUGAAAACCAGCCAACUACUACCGCGUCUGUCGAUAAAAGUAAUGAUUCCAAGUAUCCGACUUCUAAUGGAUAUUCAGUAACUCAAAGAACAAAGACAUCAACAACCAGUAAUGCCGAAUGCAGCACCUAUAAUAAUACAAAUGGAACAAGAGGAUGACAUUAAAAGAAAUCAACAGCAAUUUGUCAGUCGGCGAUCUCAACACAAUAAUGUUAUUAAGAUCUAGAUUCCGAAAACUGAAUUUGCUUUUGAUUGUCAAUCUCUGUUUUCAUGUAUAUUCAAUAGACAUACUAAUUAUAUAUUCAUGAUCAAAAUAAGUUUUUGUAAAUAAUAUAUAUACAUAUAUAUAUGUGUGACGGUCAACUAAUUAGAAUAAAUAUCGUAUGUUUUACAUAAUACUUAUGUGAGAACAGAUUUGAACUAGGACAGAAAGAAAAAAGUGGCCAGUUUUGUUAUUACUCCCAAAAUGAAAUUGCAAACAAUUGGUUGGGGGUAAUACCAGUACCAAAAUUAUCAAAUUGUUGAUGUAUAAUUUUUGUAUGGCUUCAAGUAUUGUAUAAAGCACAUGGUAUUUAAAAUAGUUGACUCACAUGUGAGCUUGAGUAAAAUUGACUUGUUUCUGAAACCAAACUUUUAUACCGGUAUAUAUUAUUCAAAACUGAUAUGUAAUAGUUAAUGAAACCCCAAAUUUCUAAUACUAUUCUAAUACGGGUAAUCAUUACAUUAUUUCCACUCAAAGUUGCGACUUGUUUAUCUUUGUAGCAAUAUUUUAUGUACAAUUGUAGAUGAAUAUGUCAUAUGUGUGAGAAAGACACAAAUUAAGUUGUGCUGAUAAUGCAAGUUGACCUUUUCACCACCAGUUCCCUCUUUUCAUCUACAAAUUCACAAAAUAGUCCUGUUUAUAGUCUGCAUUUUCUUUGGAACAAAAAUAGCCAAACAUUUUUGAGUAAAAACUGAAAAUUGAUUAAAAUUUUGUCUGUUGGCAUCAAAAUUAUGGUUUAUUUCCAAAAAUAUUGAAGAAUAAAAGAAAAAAGGGCAGACAAAUUUGGACGAGAAAGUCUGGUGGUGAAAAGGUUCUCUCAUAUUAAUACUAGGGCUUUUGUUUCAAUGCAAUAUUUACUUUAUUAGUUACAUAAGUGAUCACAUGACCAGUGUGUUUAUGGUAAGAAUGGGUCAAAUUGAAUAAUUUAUAUCGCAAUAAGGAACAUUUUUGUUUAUAUAGGUUUCAGCUAAAGAUGUGCUUCUAAUAGAGUAAAUAUGGUUACUAGUAUGUUGUAUGAUACUAAAUGUAUUUACAUUUUUGUCUCAAAAUAAUGAUAAUUUUAAAAUACAAAUUAUUUGUUUCCAAGAUGAUUAUUCUCUGGUUGUGUUUUGCAUUGAAAUUGAUGACAGUUUUGUUUCCAACCUACUAAUGUUGUAGGAGAAUAAUAUUUGAUGUAUAUUCAGUGCAUUACUUACCAUAAUUUGAAUAAACAAAAUCUGAAUUGUAAUAAUAAUAA
rnacentral:lncRNA from 1 species